rnacentral:rRNA from 1 species
UACGGAGGGUGCGAGCGUUAAUCGGAAUUACUGGGCGUAAAGCGUGCGCAGGCGGCUUGUUAAGUCUGAUGUGAAAGCCCGGGGCUCAACCUGAGAACGGCAUUUGAAACUGACUAGCUAGAGUGCAGUAGAGGAUGGUGGAAUUCCCGGUGUAGCGGUGAAAUGCGUAGAGAUCGGGAGGAACACCGGUGGCGAAGGCGGCUGCCUGGACUGAAACUGACGCUGAGGGGCGAAAGCGUGGGGAGCAAACAGG